UGUCAAGUUUAUGAAAUGGAAAACAUAUGACUUCCGUGAAUCUAAAUGUAAUUAAAUAUUUGUACUAAAUUCGUGUAAAUACAGGAAAUAAAGUGUCAAUACGAUGAUACGAGAAGAUGACCCACAAUUUCGUAUCACACCAGUACAACAAAUGGCAUCAGCUUGUUCUGGUGCCUUGAUAACUUCAUUGUUCAUGACACCAUUGGAUGUUGUUAAAAUAAGGCUGCAAGCGCAGCAGAAGGCAUUAUUAUCAAAUAAAUGUUAUUUGUAUUGCAAUGGAUUGAUGGAACAUCUCUGUCCAUGUGGUGAAACAGCAUGGAUACCUAGACGAGUACAUUUUCAUGGUACAUUUGAUGCAUUCUACAAGAUAGCUAAAUUGGAAGGUGUCCCAGCAUUAUGGUCAGGUUUAAGCCCAACCCUCGUACUGGCAUUACCAUGUACAGUAGUAUAUUUUGUGAGCUAUGAACAGCUUCGGUUUAAAACUAAAACUUUAUACAAUAAAUGGACAGACACGGUUCAUCAACCAAUGUGGAUACCGUUAUUUGCUGGUGCCACAGCUAGGACUAUAGCUGUCACAACAUUUAGUCCUUUAGAACUUAUUAGAACUAAAAUGCAAUCAAAAAAGUUAACAUAUUCAGAAAUCACCACAGCUUUACGUCAAGUUGUUAAGUAUGAGGGUUACAAGGGACUAUUUCGUGGUUUAGGUUCUACAUUACUUAGGGAUGUGCCAUUUUCAGGCAUAUAUUGGACAACAUUUGAAACAACUAAACGAAUAUUUAAUAAGCCAGAUUCAGAGAAGAAUUCCUUUCUUUUUAACUUCUUCUGUGGUUCAGUAGCAGGCAGCAUUGCAGCAUUCAUUACACUACCUUUUGAUGUGGUCAAAACACAUCAACAAAUAGAACUCGGAGAAAAGGAAAUUUACACAGAUGGAAAAAUACAACAGAGAGCUUCGAAUAUGCAGAAUAUUGUUAGGACUAUCUACAAUAACCAUGGCUUUAAAGGCUUGUUCACGGGCUUGUUGCCUCGGAUAUUCAAAGUGGCCCCUGCAUGUGCCAUUAUGAUUGCAACAUUUGAAUAUGGGAAACAAUUCUUCCAAAAAUACAACACACAGAAAUAUAAAGAAAAAUUACAAAGAAAAGGGAUUGAAGUUACAAUACUAAAAAGUGACUAGCAUGAAAUUGACCGCACUUGUAGUGUUAUUGUUUUAAUUGGAUAUUAAAAUGACAUCAAGACAUUGUUAUAAUUGGGAAUCAUAAAAACAAUGAUUAUUCUUAAAAUCAAGAAAACCGACUAAAAGAUGACCAGCUAACGCCAAAACUGUAGCCAAAAUGAGAACAAAGGAAAAUGUUUCAAAUGGCCGACAUUUAAAUUUUUCCUUUUUUUUUUCAAAUUGACAAUUACAUAGAAAUGUUAUUAAAAUGUGAUACUAAAAUAAUUAUUUUUAAGACAUGUUACCAUUUUACAUGAAUAAUGUGAUUUUAAUUUUAAAAUGUUCAGACAAUCUGAGAAUGACCGUCUGAACCAUUUUCAUUAUAUUUACCGAGGAUUGUUUGGUUUGGAUGUUAUUAAGGUGUUUGUAUGUGUCUAAACAAGUCAUAAAACAGGUUCUAAAGUUUGUAUGGAUUAAGUAUGGUGAAUGGUUAUUGAAAUAAAAUACAGUUGGAUACUGAAACAAUAAGAUUUGCUUUGUUUAUAAUCUGACAGAUGUCAUAAUAUAACUGGAAUUUGGACUUUAACCUUGGCCUCUAUCAUAUAGGUUGCUGUAUAUUUAAAUGUCGUUCAGUAUUCCAGAUUUUCAAUUAAUAUGUUUUAUUUAUAUUUCAUUGUAUUUAUGCCAUCUACUCCUUUUACAAUAUUGUAAACAAUAAUUUAAUGAAAAUUUUAUCAUUUAUUAUGGGUUAUUUACUAUUAUGCUACAUAUACUAGAUAUGUAGGGAGCCAUUUGUACAUUUGUUACUCCUGCAUGUUGUGUAGGUAUGUGUAUAGUAGAAUCCUAGCAAAGAUACUUGUUAAUAAUAAAUAGAGAAGAAAAUUUA